rnacentral:misc_RNA from 1 species
UCCAAUUUUCUGUGGAAUGGCCAG